rnacentral:rRNA from 1 species
AUGGCUAUCUACGAUACACCAUUUAGCCAACUUGAUGUGACAUUGUCUCAGCUUCUUGUUAUAGAUCGUGAUUUCCGGGAUCCAAGUUUUGGGCUCCAGCUUCAUGAGACUGAAUUUUGUUCAAGGCUAACAGUGAAAAUUUUAUUUGUAAAAUAUGGCGAUCCCUAUAGUGGUAUUUCUGAAGCUUCGCUAUGCUUGCUUUCCCACCAACAAGCAGUAAUCCAAUCACUGGUGCACCAGGUACUAUAUCAUCGGCCAUCCACCAGGACGAUGCUGACAGCCAAAGAAAGCUCCUUCCCCACCGCUGACAGCCAAAACCGCUCUUGUGCUCAUCAAGAUGUCCAGUUG